GAGACACGGGCCUUAGGAUGGGGCUGCGGUCGAUUAUGCUAGAUGGCGGUGUAAAGGACCACCAUGGCUAUGAUCGGUAUGGGCGAUGGAAGUCGGAGCCCAGAGUCGGCUACUGAGACAAGGAGCCGAGCUUUACGAAGCUUAGCGGUCGCGAAAACUCGCCAAUGCACGGAAGUGUGAGUGGGCUACUCCAAGUGUCAUUCUUACGGAUGACUGUCGCUCAGUCUUACCAGCUGAGAAAGGAAGGAGAGGGCAAGGCUGGUGCCAGCCGCCGCGGUAAAACCAGCUCUUCGAGUGGUCAGGACGAAUAUUGGGUCUAAAGCGCUCGUAGCCGGACAAGUAGGUUCUUGGUUAAACCCGACAGCAUAACUGUUGGCCUGCUGGGAAUACCGCUAGUCUUGGGAGCGGGAGAGGACAGAGGUAGUCAUAGGGCAGGGGUGAAAUCCAGUGAUCCUAUGGCGACCACCGAUGGCGAAGGCAUCUGUCUGGAACGUAUCCGACGGUGAGGGGCGAAAGCUAGGGGAGCGACCCGGAUUAGAUACCCGGUUAGUCCUAGCCGUAAACGAUGCGGACUAGGUGUUACAAUGGCCAAGAGCCACUGUAGUGCCACAGCGAAGGCGUUAAGUCCGCCACCUGGGGAGUACGGAUGCAAGUCUGAAACUUAAAGGAA
rnacentral:rRNA from 1 species